CUAAAGUCCAGGGUCUGGAGAAGGUGCUGAGCCCCAGGCCCUCCCUCCCCCGCCAGCUCCUCCAUGCUCCCCGACUCCUCAGCCUUCCGGCGAGGCUUCCCUGAGCACCUUCCGAAGCUGUCCCCCUUCCCCUAGCCAGACACUUUCUAUCUUGCUGUCUUGCUUUCUUCUCAUCCAAAAAUUAUGUGCCUAACUUACUCAUUUACUAUGGGUCUCCCCACAGCAUGCAGACUUCACCAUGGCAAAGUCCGGCAUACCUAGACACUGCCGGUCCAUCUGAGCUUUCAACAGAUGCUGUUGAGUAAACAGGUGGCAGGUGGGGGCCUUGUGCCAUCUUUCCUGCGUCUCGCCUCCCUCCCCCAGGGCUCAGAGUCAGGCUCAGGGACCCGGUGAAGAUGACCAUUUGGUAACUUACUUGGUGAUUUUAAAAAGCUGACUUAAAACUUUGUCAAUAUACACUUGCCGCAAAAUGUUGUGCCCGCCACUGCCUUCCGUGGCUCACGGGGACGAUCAUUUCACUUUUCCGACCCUGUCUCCUCAUGCAUGUCACAGGGAUAAAUAACAUCCGCCUCGUGGGGCUGCUUGUGAGAAUGAAAUGCGACGGGCACUUGCAGUUCCCACCGGCACCUUCGCCAUAGUAGGUGCUUGACUAAGUACGCCGGGCCCUUCACCGUUCCCGCCCCACCCCCCCAACUUUCCCCUUUCAGUCGGAGCUGGAAGAAAGCGCGUCAAUCACGGGAUAAUUUAUGCAGCGUGAUAUGCCUUUAUUAUUCCACGCUGAGUCGGGGCUUCUACUGUCCAAUGAAGGUCAAAAGGAGACGCGAGAAGAACUGGUUUGAAAUCAGGAGUUUCAUGCUUGGGGAGAAAUAAAGGUUGGGACCAGAUUCUUUUCUUU
rnacentral:lncRNA from 1 species